rnacentral:rRNA from 1 species
AGGGGCGGACGGGUGAGUAACACGUGGGUAACCUGCCCUUAAGUGGGGGAUAACAUUUGGAAACAGAUGCUAAUACCGCAUAAAUCCAAGAACCGCAUGGUUCUUGGCUGAAAGAUGGCGUAAGCUAUCGCUUUUGGAUGGACCCGCGGCGUAUUAGCUAGUUGGUGAGGUAACGGCUCACCAAGGCAAUGAUACGUAGCCGAACUGAGAGGUUGAUCGGCCACAUUGGGACUGAGACACGGCCCAAACUCCUACGGGAGGCAGCAGUAGGGAAUCUUCCACAAUGGACGCAAGUCUGAUGGAGCAACGCCGCGUGAGUGAAGAAGGCUUUCGGGUCGUAAAACUCUGUUGUUGGAGAAGAAUGGUCGGCAGAGUAACUGUUGUCGGCGUGACGGUAUCCAACCAGAAAGCCACGGCUAACUACGUGCCAGCAGCCGCGGUAAUACGUAGGUGGCAAGCGUUAUCCGGAUUUAUUGGGCGUAAAGCGAGCGCAGGCGGUUUUUUAAGUCUGAUGUGAAAGCCCUCGGCUUAACCGAGGAAGUGCAUCGGAAACUGGGAAACUUGAGUGCAGAAGAGGACAGUGGAACUCCAUGUGUAGCGGUGAAAUGCGUAGAUAUAUGGAAGAACACCAGUGGCGAAGGCGGCUGUCUGGUCUGUAACUGACGCUGAGGCUCGAAAGCAUGGGUAGCGAACAGGAUUAGAUACCCUGGUAGUCCAUGCCGUAAACGAUGAAUGCUAGGUGUUGGAGGGUUUCCGCCCUUCAGUGCCGCAGCUAACGCAUUAAGCAUUCCGCCUGGGGAGUACGACCGCAAGGUUGAAACUCAAAGGAAUUGACGGGGGCCCGCACAAGCGGUGGAGCAUGUGGUUUAAUUCGAAGCAACGCGAAGAACCUUACCAGGUCUUGACAUCUUUUGAUCACCUGAGAGAUCAGGUUUCCCCUUCGGGGGCAAAAUGACAGGUGGUGCAUGGUUGUCGUCAGCUCGUGUCGUGAGAUGUUGGGUUAAGUCCCGCAACGAGCGCAACCCUUAUGACUAGUUGCCAGCAUUUAGUUGGGCACUCUAGUAAGACUGCCGGUGACAAACCGGAGGAAGGUGGGGAUGACGUCAAAUCAUCAUGCCCCUUAUGACCUGGGCUACACACGUGCUACAAUGGAUGGUACAACGAGUUGCGAGACCGCGAGGUCAAGCUAAUCUCUUAAAGCCAUUCUCAGUUCGGACUGUAGGCUGCAACUCGCCUACACGAAGUCGGAAUCGCUAGUAAUCGCGGAUCAGCACGCCGCGGUGAAUACGUUCCCGGGCCUUGUACACACCGCCCGUCAC